rnacentral:rRNA from 1 species
CGUUAUCCGGAUUUACUGGGCGUAAAGCGUGUGUAGGCGGUUUGACAAGUUGGAUGUGAAAGCUCCUGGCUUAACUGGGAGAGGUCGUUCAAAACUGUCAGACUUGAGAGUGGUAGAGGGAGGUGGAAUUCCGGGUGUAGUGGUGAAAUGCGUAGAUAUCCGGAGGAACACCAGUGGCGAAAGCGGCCUCCUGGCCCAUUUCUGACGCUCAGACACGAAAGCUAAGGUAGCAAACGGGAUUAGAGACCCCGGUAGUCUUAGCUGUAAACGAUGUGAACUUAGUGUCGGUGGGUUUAAAUCCAUCGGUACUGAAGCAAACGCGAUAAGUUCACCGCCUGGGGACUACGGCCGCAAGGUUAAAACUCAAAGGAAUUGACGGGGCCCCGCACAAGCAGCGGAGCGUGUGGUUUAAUUCGAUGCUACACGAAGAACCUUACCAGGGUUUGACAUGCUAGUGGUAGGAAGCCGAAAGGUGACCGACCCUUCGGGGAGCUAGCACAGGUGCUGCAUGGCUGUCGUCAGCUCGUGUCGUGAGAUGUUCGGUUAAGUCCGCUAACGAGCGCAACCCUCGCUGCGUGUUACAUGUGUCACGUG